rnacentral:rRNA from 1 species
CAGUCGAGGAUCUUCGGCAAUGGGCGCAAGCCUGACCGAGCGAGGCCGCGUGGGCGAUGAAGGCCUUCGGGUUGUAAAGCCCUGUCGAGGGGGAGAAAAGCCGAAAGGUGUGAUCUAUCCCUGGAGGAAGCACGGGCUAAGUUCGUGCCAGCAGCCGCGGUAAGACGAACCGUGCGAACGUUGUUCGGAAUCACUGGGCUUAAAGGGCGCGUAGGCGGGCUAUCAAGUCCGGGGUGAAAUCCUCCAGCUUAACUGGAGAACUGCCUCGGAUACUGAUGGUCUCGAGGAGGAUAGGGGCACACGGAACUGUGGGUGGAGCGGUGAAAUGCGUUGAUAUCCAUAGGAACUCCGGUGGCGAAAGCGGUGUGCUGGAUCCUUUCUGACGCUGAGGCGCGAAAGCCAGGGGAGCAAACGGGAUUAGA